rnacentral:rRNA from 2 species
UACCAGCACCCCGAGUGGUCGGGACGUUUAUUGGGCCUAAAGCAUCCGUAGCCGGUUCUACAAGUCUUCCGUUAAAUCCACCUGCUUAACAGAUGGGCUGCGGAAGAUACUAUGGAGCUAGGAGGCGGGAGAGGCAAGCGGUACUCGAUGGGUAGGGGUAAAAUCCGUUGAUCCAUUGAAGACCACCAGUGGCGAAGGCGGCUUGCCAGAACGCGCUCGACGGUGAGGGAUGAAAGCUGGGGGAG